AUCCAGAUGACGAGUCCCAAAUAGGACGAAACGCGUGUCCUCGAU
rnacentral:hammerhead_ribozyme from 1 species